rnacentral:rRNA from 1 species
AUUGAACGCUGGCGGCAGGCCUAACACAUGCAAGUAGAACGAUUGGCGCACGGGUGUGUAAUGUAUGGAAACCUCCCUGUAGGAGGGGGAUAACUACUGGAAACGGUAGCUAAUACCGCAUACCAUCGGUUUUGCCCAGAUGGGAUUUGCUUGUAGGUGGGGUAAAGGCUAAACUAGGCCACAAUCCCUGGCUGGUCGGAGAGGAUGACCAGCCACACGGGAACGGAGACACGGUCCAGACUCCUACGGAAGGAAGCAGUGGGGAAUAUUGCACAAUGGGAGCAAGCCUGAUGCAGCCAUGCCGCGGGGAUGAAGAAGUCCUUGGGGUGGUAAAGUACGUUCAGCGGGGAGGCGUUACCCGCAGAAGAAGCACCGGCUAACUCCGUGCCAGCAGCCGCGGUAAUUC